AACGCACAUUGCGCCCUUUGGCAUUCCGAGGGGCAUACCUGUUCGAGCGUCAUUAUCAACCAUCAAGCUUGGCUUGCUGUUGAAUUCACCCGUAAUUGGGGGAGUUCGAAAGUCAGUGGCAGGAUGAGUCAGUCCCAAAAUGCAACGAGCUGUUCGUAACCAGCACGCAUUGAAGGCUGGCCAUUUUCGCCAGUCUCAUUUUUCAAAAGGUUGACCUCGGAUCAGGUAGGAUUACCCGCUGAACUUAA
rnacentral:misc_RNA from 1 species